ACAUAGCACUGUGGAACCACCCGAUCCCAUCCCGAACUCGGAAGUGAAACGCAGACGCGCCGAUGGUAGUGUGCCCCGCGCAUGCGAGAGUAGGUCAUCGCCAGGG
rnacentral:rRNA from 1 species